rnacentral:rRNA from 1 species
CGGAACACGUACGCAACCUCCCCAGAACAGGUGAAUAGCCUUCCGAAAGGAAGAUUAAUACACCGUACCAUAUAGUUGUGGCAUCACGAUUAUAUUAUAGGUAGCAAUACCGGUUCUGGAUGGGCGUGCGCCUGAUUAGGUAGUUGGUGCGGGUAACGGCCCACCAAGCCUUCGAUCAGUAACUGGUGUGAGAGCACGACCAGUCACACGGGCACUGAGACACGGGCCCG